UUAAGGGCCUAUAGCUCAGUUGGUUAGAGCACACGCCUGAUAAGCGUGAGGUCGGUGGUUCAAGUCCAUUUAGG
rnacentral:tRNA from 2 species